UUUUGAGUUCUUUUCAUCAGGGUUGCAAGACGAUCCUGAAGUUGUUCCCAGCUGCGGUGAAGACUGAGGCUAUUUAACCCUUCUUCCCUGCUAUUACAACAUUUUUUCUUCUGGAGGUCGCUUUCCAAGGUGGUGUAAUUUUUCUCAGGAGCUCUGACUUAUGUUCUUGAUUGAAGCCUGUUGCCCGAGGAACGUAGCUUUGUCUUGGCUGAGCGAUGCUAGCAACUUUUAAAGGGGCGUUUGGAGAGCAUCUACUCCAUUUUCAAGCAGAAGAGCACUCUCUGAACUUGAAGGAUUGGAACACCAGGACAUCUGCAUUGACAGGUGCCUGAGUUUGUUAGAACUCCAGUUCAACUUAAGUUGGAGCUGCGGCAGCACCCUGGAAGUGAGGCUGGUUGUUUGGAUUCCCUGAUGCGUUCCGCUGCCUAAAUUCUUGUUUCCAAACAAGAACAAACUCUCCCCCUGCUUUGAAGCUGUGCCAAGCUAAAGAUUGAUCUCAACAAGCUCUCCAGAGGGAAGCACAAGUGGCAGUGUUUUGCAGGUAUCUUUCAGGAGGUGCCUUGGAAUAUAGCUGUCAUGAACCAAGCCAAAGUAGGAGCAAACCGUUCAUCCUACGGAAAAAUCCUGAUCCUGCUGUGCCUGCCAGAGAAGUUUGGUUGGUGGGAGCUGCGUUUUUGGCUGCUUUCUUAUAGCUGUUUCCUACAACACACUGUGCUGUUUGUUUCUUUGUGAGGUGUGAGCUCCCUCAGUAAGAGGUCUAAAUCUAUGCAGCUGGACUCUGGAUGUAACUUCGGUCACCAGCUAUGAUUGCUGUUUCUGUCUGUUCUGUGUGAAUUCAGAUGUUAGUGGUCAGUGCUAGCAAUGGACCCAAAGGCUAGCCAUCCUCGUUAGAGCAGUGCAGUCUCGUGGUUAGCAUGCGGGACCAGAAGCGUGAUGCCUUCUGCACACACAGGAUGAAAUUUGGGUUGUUUUGUGAUUAGCAUUUUGCAGGGCAGAGAGGGAAGGUCACUGCAUUGAAGUGAAUGCAACGGAAAUGUGAAUUGAAGACUUCCCCCUGAAAUGUGAGCGUGUGGAUGGUCUAGAUGGCUUUCCAACUGAGGCCAAAAAAACCCUGAGUUUAUCUCCUGCCUGAAAUUUUAAAGAUAAAUUGUUUGAAAAUGUUGUUUGUUAUAGACAACUGUGUGACUCUUCGUUGGAGCUGGGUAUGGAUAUAGGCUUGUUGAUUUGUGCAGCUGAAUAUUUCAUUGCCACAGUUCAAAGGCUCAUACAGAAUGCUCUGGGCAGAAUCAAAGCUGGAUUCCUCUACUAGAAAUUCAGAAUAAUUUCACUUACUUCAAAAAUCUGCUGCUGCAGUUGGCCUGAGGGGGUUUCAUACCAAGCUGCAUGAUUUUUUCUUGGUUGUUUUUCUCAAUUUGGGAACACGGCAAUUGUUGGGCUCAUCCCAGAAUGAUCUCGGUCCUUUUCUAAAAGGCGUGUAUCACUUGGGUCCCUCUGCAGUGACAGCAGCAUAAAGAUGAAUUCCAUGUUCUUGUUGUGAGCUUGGUUACUUUGUUGGCUGGUGCCUUUAGCAAGCUGCUGUCAGCCUGGCUGAUUCAGUUCACUGCAGUAUCUUGAGUUUUUUCCAGUGCUCCUCAUAUUAUUUACUUUAUUCUUGUGUGUCAGGUAGUGUCUCAGCAUAAGCAGUUACUCCCAGAAUAACAUUUCUGCAACCUUUUCCUAACCCCAGUCAUACUCCGGUGUGCGUACUGAUUACAAAGACUCUGUUUGGCUUGGUUGCAAUCUCCUUAUUUGAUUGCUCCCCCUGCUUGCUGGGGCUCUGAGACCUGCUCUUUCUCGAGGCAUUUUCCUCCUCAUAUACUUCAGGCAUUUUUAUAUUAUUUCUCCUGGCAACGUGUUCUCUUGGAUAUUUUUUUUCUUUAAUCUCUCUUUCAUUUUUCCUGUCAAAGUCUGUUCCACUGCAUUAAAGACACAUGGGCUGGAUUUAUGAUGCCUGAAAUGGAUACCUUUUUGGCCCUAAAGCUCAUCCCCUGCCAUACUGCUGGAAAUGAUUGCGACUUUUCUGCAUCUUGAAAGUAAAUAUCUCAUUGAACUCAGGCAGGCGUGUGUGGUGCUUUUGGAGCCAGGGAAUAUUUAUUUAAUCUCCACGUAGGGAAGCAGAGAGUGAAACCCUAGAUCCGUUCAAAUCACCGGGGCUUUCCCUGGGCUUCAGCUGAGCUGUGCCUCUGUGUUCGGGUUUGGGAUCUGUAGGUGGCCCUCCAGCCAGGGGAGGUUGAAAGCACGAGGCAGGCUUCUCAGCCCUCUGCUCGGGGAUGAGAGGCUGAGCUGAGGGUCAGCUGGCUGCAGAAAGAGAUGGAGGAUUUGGAGACGAAGGACCAGGUUUUCUUUCCUGGUUCUUUCACCGGCCUCUUGAAAGAUAUUUAUGUUUCAGUGUUUGCUUGGAAAGGUGCCUCAGCAGCACGGUACUGUUUGGGUGAGUAAUUUUGCUGGUGUACUGCAGUUGUGUGAGAGGUUCUGGAGACACGUGUCCACCUGGGACAUGCUAAGCCCAUGAAGCAAGAGAUAAGCUUAAGCCACAGGUUUGUGCAGGUGCUGAAGGGUGUUGCCUGGAUGAAGCCUUCAUCUGUUCCCCGUGAAUCGUGGUGCUGCGUCCCAGUGGAAGUUGUCUGGUUUGGUGACAAGCCCAGCUUACAGCCCCAGCAGAGAAGUUUGAUGAAAUAAAAGGUAGAUGAAGCGGUGUCUCCAUAUUCCCAUCCCCAGCUGAAGAGCAGUCUAAACAGUGAAAACUGUCGGGAGUGCUUAUGGAGAGAAGCAACGUCGGGAGCUGAAGAUAAGAGCAUUUAUCUUCACGUCAAAACUACUCAGUGUCUGAUGGGCUCCCAACGCACUUCAACAAGGAGCUUAGGCUGGAGACACUGGGAUGUGAGGAAUGUGGGGGGGAGCGUUUAUCCCACCGAAACGUGGCGUGCAUCAAAUCAAUUACACGGUGCAAGCAUAUUUCCCCCCUCGUCACCAGACAGUGUCGCGAGCUCGAAGAAAAUCGGUUCUCUCGGGCACUAGAGGAGCCUCCCUUUGGAUGCUGAUUUAAUGUGAAACGUAUAUUAAAGGAGAGAGGGAGAAGGGGGAUCUCAUAUGUUCUGCUGCAGAUUGCCACAUCGAUCUUGUCGUUCAGGCGAGCACAGCUGGACCUGAGGCUGUGGGGCUGUGGGAUGUGCUGCCUUGCUGUCGGGAGCUGUCAGCAUCAGAGGAGCACAGGAGAAGGAGGCACUGUGGCGGUAGAAAGUGCAGUGAUAAAGGGAUCAACGAGCCGUUUAAGGGGAAAUCAAAGCAGGUGCCACUUUGCGCCCACUGUUUUGGCUUGUGCUCAUUUUCAGCAGCUAGAAACGUGCUCUGCCCUCACCUCGUCCCCCAGUGCAGUGGUGAAGGGAGGAGGCCCGCUGAACCCUCCCUGCUGCCGUCUCUGAGCCAGCUCCUCCCUGAGAAUUGCUCCUUUGAGCUCACACCCCAGCUCACAGCCCACAUUGCACAAUGCUGAUGGCCAGUCUGGGAGUCUUCGCUCCAACAGAUACACUGGCAAACUUCUUAAUUUAUAGCAGGCCUCGGGCAUCCCUCUGCCCGGUGUUUAUGCACUGUGUGGAAUGGUGUCGGUGCUUUGGGAUACUUGUGCUUCUCCCAGGCAGAGCAGAGACACUAGAGAGCGCCCUGCAUUUGCAGAUUUUGACUUGGGAAGCAGAGUGUGAGGAUGUGAGCGCUCCCUGAGGAGAGGACGUGGGAGACAACUGAUCUCAGGACUCAACCUGGUCUUGCUCCUUGAGACAGCCAGGAAGAUGUGUGUUUGGAGAGGAUUUUUCACGUAGACAGGUGUAGCUGCAGUUGCAAUAAAGCUUUGUGUUUCCUCCAGUGAUCUCCUUGUCUUUGGACAUGACAGAACAGGAGGUGCGUUUGGACCAGCAGACCUCCACUUUUCAUGCACAGCCUCUGUCUCAUCUCAAACACAGCCACCAAGACAGCACCAGCAGGGGCCUGGCCAGUUAUCUCCUCUCCUAAGGAAGCUUUCAGAGCACUUGUCAAAAGAAAGAGACACCUGCAGGAGUGUGGUUCUCAGGGAAGGACAGCCCUUCCUCUGCUCGUUUCUGGGACCCUGCAGCUUCCAGCUCCUUUACCCAAGGUGAUGGAGUAGGAAUAAAGGGAAGAGAGGAAGCAGCACAUAGAGACAUUAAUUGGUUGCUGCUUCCCUGCUCAACACUGCUGGUGGAAAAAGAAAACCUGGCGAUCAUCCGUAGUGCACAUGGGCUUCAUAGUACUUGGCACAAGGCAGCAUGCGAGAUGAAAGUGUGUCUCUUGACAGCCAGCUCCGUACUGGCAGCCUUUACUCCAGGCAACAAAUUAAUCCACUCAACUGUGUUCUGCAUAAUUGUUGAUACUGUCUUAAUUGGUACCAUACGUUUCCCUGUGUCGACAUGUCCAUCAUGUUAAUGUCUGGGGACUGUUGUUUCCUGCCAACUCGGGAACAGUGGAGCCUGCUCUGUCCUAACUAAACUUCUAGCUAAAAAAGCCUCGGUGAAGAAGUGUGACUCCGUGGCAAAGGGGAAAUGCAGAGCCAUGUUGGGGCAUGACUCAAAAUUCAUGAGUACAAAGGAAAAAAAAGGGACUCCUGAUUUUGGUAGCAGUUGGAGCUGAGCCAGCUCUUCCAGGGCUCCCUGAGGACAAUUGAGUUCUGCUUAAGUCAAAUCUGAAGGCAGAAGAGCUGAUCUGCCUGCUCCUAGGAAAUAAGGGGUGGGGGCGGCAAGCAUUUUUUAAGUGUCCUGGGCAAGACAGCUGCAGAGCUAAUCGAGCCCGGUGCACUGGUGGCUUUGUGGAUUGGGAUCAGCGUUUUGCUUAAUGACAGGCAGCUUGGACAGAGCCUGGAGGGCACACACAGGCUGCUGUCCUCUCAGUUCCUCCACGUGCUGAGGUCGCAGGGGCUUCGUUUGAUCAGCAGGAAAGUCCUGGGGAGGUAGAGAGCUGGGUGCAGCCCAGGUGAAGACGACUGCGUGAGCAUCACCAGCAUCAGCUCCUGAGAGAAAAAGGCCACCUCGUCACCAGUUUUCUGGGGGAAGAAAAUGUCAUAAACGGAUCUGGCUCAGACACUGCGGUAACUUUUGGUUGCUUCUGCUUUUGAUGUCUAAGUGAGCGGCCAUCAGCAUUGCUUCCUGCCAGGAGAUGUCACUUCUGGAAGCAGGGAUGAUGUGGAGCUAAUGCUGGCGGAGGGAGGAACAAUCUCUUUGCUUAUUGCGUCUCAUAGUGCUGGGGCUGCCAGUGGCCUGAGAGCCUUCACCCUGCCUGCCUGCUCCUGCCUUUCCCUCUGAAUGCUUUCUACCAGCCUACCCUUGCUGAGUUUUGGAGGCUAACAGUUUCAGCCCAAGCCAGAACCACUUAUCGCAUCUAGGCUCCCUUCCAGAAGAUUUUACACCUUGUGUAGUUCUCCUGGCCUCCCUGGAGCUGUAUCCCAGCGGGUUGGACGGGAGAUCCCCACGCCAGAGACCGUUCCUCGCUGAGACGGUAACAUCUGAAGGGACACGGAGCCAUAAAGUGAUGCACUGACAUGGGAGGCAGGCAAGAAAAGAGACAGUGACAAAUACCUCGUUCAAAAGUGCCCUUUGGGGAUAACCAAAGAACUGCAGAAUAACAGAGGCUGGAAGGAGUCCCUGUACGUACCUCAUCCAGUCCCUGAGUCAUGGUGCAGCUUCCCAAGACGGCCCUCAGAAGGAGCACUCUGGAGAGCUUGAGGCUGGUACAUACAGCAAGAGGUACGCCUUGGAGAUGCUCUUGACUGCCUCAAGACAUCCUGCUGAAGCUGACAUUUCUGUUAAAUGACUCCAUGCUGAUCACAUUAUUGCAGUAAAUGCUAAAUGAAUCUGAUGUUGAGCACGUACGUUCUUACCUGUCGUGAUAACUCUAUGUUAAUAUUACAUUAAUUAUUCCUGAGUUACAAUGCUGUUGGAUGUUGAUAAAGGCUGAAUGGCUUCAUGAAAUGCUGAUCCUGACAGUCCUGUGGCAGGCGCUAAAAUGUGAUUUCCAAGUCUUAGGGGGGAAAAAAGGAAUAUAUUACUAUUUCUGAUUAGAGGACUUCAGAAGAAACAUAUUCCAGUCACAUCUUGUGGAGCGCUCGCCUGAAUCCCUCUUGCUUUCAGUAGCUGUUGCCUUUGCAUAAGACAUAAAAAGGAAUAUACUCUUCACUUUUUCAGUUAAUAUUUUAUGGUGAUUGCUGAUGUAGAACCAGCUCAGCGUGUAUGAACACUUCUCUACAACAAAGACUGUGCGCAUACGGAGCUGCGGUCAUUUCCUUGGUGCAUGAGAGCUGAUGCGUUGGAGCAAAGCUGGCGGAGCAAACAUGGGGAGAUCACUUCUCGCUGGUACCACCUUCCCUGCAGUUUUGCAUCUGAGCUCUUGGACAGCUCUGCCGAGGCCCGUUUCUGCACACCUACUGGUUAUCCCAGGCAUCCCUUGUGUAACUCUGCAGUUUUCAUGGUGAACUUCGUGGUGAAGUUGAAGACUGCCAGGACUGGGAAAUCACAGUGCUUCAUUUCCCAGUGAAUUGAGCAAAAUAUCAGAAGAAAAAGGGUUUGGGAUAAAAUUACCAAAAGCACCUAAAUUGCUUAGGAAGCCUCAUUCGGCUGCACUAGUGAGAUUUCCAGCUAUAAGAAAAAAAUAUGAUGGAAGGGAGCAGGCAGACCCCAAAGGACUGUUUUCCAAGCAUAGAACGGGGCUUUUACCACAGAGAGAGGAACGAGAACUGAAGCAGCUCCAGCACCUGGGACCUGUUUAAGAAAAAGAGGAGAAGUGGAUGCAGGAUUUCAGAAGCAGAGCUCUACCUCCAGCUUCAGUUAUACAAGAAAAAGCAACAAAAGACACCGCCGACCCAAGCCUGGGCUGGCAACGUCUGGGACGCUGACCCCACAAAGCACCUGCAGAGGAGGGUGGCUCGAAGGGGGAGCCCAGCUUGCAGGUGCCAGGAGGCUUCUCGCAUGGUUAGGCGGAGGAACUGCAGGCUCCCCUCCCAUGACAAAGGGAGCAGGAGAAAGUGGAGCAAGAGGCUUUCCCUCAGCUUGUUCGUGGAAAGGCUUUGCCUGAGGGCUGAAUUCAGGUCAAAUCUGGAACUGGGACUCUGAAAGCAAACCUUUUCCCCCCAAAAAUGGUGCUGCAAAUUGGUCUUUCAGCCUUGUCUUCGGCCUGAUGUGUCACAGCAUGGCUUGGAGACGAGGUGUGCUGCCCUAUUGGAGCUUGGGGUCUGGCUGACCAGGUCCAGGAAGAGCCAGGAGUGCAGAUGGGCUUGCAGUGUUUGAAAGCUGCACAGACCUGUAAGUCGCUGUUAUUUAUAUAAAUUGGCCUGUCUCUUUUACAUCUGUAUUCUAAACAUCCGUUACAUGGCAAUACUGCUUUCAGUGGUGCGCCAAGUUUUCCUUCUAAAACACAUGUUCCCCAAAGCCUCAGUAUUUUAGUUCCUUUGUUCUGAUUUAUUGCUGUUGCCUUACCACAUCUGCUAGACGCAGAGGAGAAAAACCUCCCCAAAACGACAUAAGAGCCCUCUCUGCUCGCCUCCCCAGACCACAUACAUCAGGAUUAACGCGCUGAGUCUGUUAUAUAAAGUGAUUCAACAAUAAACUAACUCAGCUUUAAUUUCUUAUCUGCUUCCAAAUAGAAGUGCUCAUGAAGAAUAAGCGUCUGUGGGUUAAUAAUGCCAAGACUGAGAUAAAACCCAAAGCUACUGUGGGGAAUGGAAAGUUGGGAUAGAUGUUAAAUCUGGAGAACGAUAGAACGAGAUGAAAAUAUAAAUGUGUCAAUGGCUGCAUUUUCUAAAUCUAAGUAAGGAUUUUGUGGGUAUCAGUUUCUGUUUUUCCUCUGUCAAUACCUAAAAUGGCCUUGUUUUUCAAAGGAUGAACUCUCUUCUGUGAAGUAAGGCCCCUUUAUGGUAUCUCAGGGUAAGCAUCAAGCAAUUGCUGGUCACGUAAAGAAAUUGGCUGUUAUUGUGAAGAUUGUAGAGACGCUUGAGACAGAAAAGUUGUACUAAAGUUGGCUUUCCUGGAGGUUUUUCAGCUUUGAUCAUAGGGGAGGGAUACAGUUUUUCACUGGUAGUUAUGCUAAAGUGAGCAUCCCAUUUUCUCCCUCAAACACAGAGCUACAGCACAGAGCUUGAGCUGUGGCCAUGAGUCUGGUAGACCUCAGCAGAGAAAUUUUGGUUAAUACUUGGGGUACCCACAGCACCCACCUCCUGCACCCUCAGGCACGGCCAGGAAACAUUCCGGUCCGUACCCACAACUGGUUUUGUUUUAAUUCUGCAAAAACCUGCAGAAUUGCUGGAGUUUGUGCUGCAUUGAAUGCCUGUUGGACACAGUAUCCAAGCUGCCUCCUUGGCAGGAGGAGGUCUCUCUGCCGCAUCCAGGACACCUGGGCACCUUGCACAUCUCUGGGCAGGUAUUUUGAGUUUUCAGUAGCUGUGCUAGCAGGGUGCUGGGAUACCCUUUCCUCCCAGAACACCAUCAGCUUUAGCAAAAGCCAAGUUGACAUUCUUCUUCUUUUUGCUAGGGGGGAAACACAUCGUGUCCCGGUGCUCUGUGAGCACAAAGGUCCAAUGAAGCUGGGUGAUUGCAAGCGAAGGGAAGUCCUGGCAAAGAGGAACACUAUUCAUAUUUGUCAUCCUAAUAUCUUCCUUCUUUGUGUAAGCCAGCCCGACAGCAGGUUGUGCUCUGUCGGGUGCACUCACCCUGGUUGCUGGUUGAGCUGAUGUACCACGAGCUGCUUUUCUUCACUCAUUUCCUCCCUCUGAGGCACACUGGUGAUGUGAAGCUCGUUGUCAUAUUCAGGCCUGUUACUUGUGUUAGUUAACAAAGGAGAGCAUUCAAAAGCCUGCUCAGAGACUUUUUUUUUCUCAUUUUUAAAUGGAAACCAGCUUUCUUAGCAAACCGUAUUCAGGAAUGUGCUCCCUUGAAACCAAUAUGAAGCAACAGCAGUGGUUGCAGCCAGUUGCAACAUCUCGUCUUGCUAGAUGCAGGCAAAUCGUGUUACAAGUUGUGCUGCUAGCAAAAUCUCUGCAAAGGAAAUCUGCUGAGACCUGUAUAGCUGGGGGUUGCUAGCUCUUCUGAGGUGAGCUAAAGACCUAAUUUCACCUGGUUUCUUUGAAGAAUGAGCUCUACAUAUUGCAGCCAAGUUCAAUGAACUGAGGAUUCAGUAAGCCUAGACCUGACUUUGAGAGAAUUUGGACCGAUACGUUGUUUUUACUGGAAAUUGGGUCAAACUUUGACCCCAAACCAACAAAGCUUUCUGAUUUUGCACAAAUUUCAGGAUUCUGUUAGGUGGGGAAGUCAGAGAUGGCGAUGAAACAGAAAAUGCGCACUGCUGCAUGAGGCUCACCUAAUUCCUGAUGGCAAGACCAAAUCUGAACACAAUGGCCUGACCACUGCUGUGGUGAAAUUCAGAGCACGAAUACGGUAUAAUUGAUUUUUUUAAAUCAUAUUUCAUUCUAAAUUCUAUUGGAAAUGAAUUUUAGACCAUUCCCAUCUUUAAUCCAAACAGUACUUACAGCAGGAUAGCAGGAUACUCUGUACCAAAGUCCAGUGAACGAUAUGGAUCAGUAUGUCAUGUGAAACCCUUAGGGGCUUUCUCAAGGGGCAAGCUCUGUUUAGUUUGGGGGAAAUAAGACAAAUCACUCUAGUCUUGUUUAAAGUGCUUGUGAGAAGAUCUUUCUCAGAAAGGCUUAAGCGCAUUGGCCCUCUCCUGUUUUCCUAGAAAACAGGAAAUGAGUUUCAGCUCUGCAGUUAACUUGAUUUCUUAGGUGUCUUGCUUUCUGCAGUCACUUUUGGGGUCUAGAAUGCUACAGAAAUUAUCUGAGGGCAUUUUCAACACUUCAGAAUUAAAAUCAAAUUGUUGAAAUAUUGCCAACAUUUAAAUGAAAAUUACUUUCUCUAAACAAACACUUGAGGACUUUCCACACUUUUUUUUUUUUUUAUCACAAGAGCAUUCUUAGCCCAAACACCUUCUCUCUGUGGUUUCUCAAGUAUCCAGUCUGCACUGUUAAAACCAGAUGUGCCUUAGGAUGUAAUUGAAUACAAGACCUUUUUAGCCAAAAACUAGAUGAGUAAGGAGGGACAGUUUUUCACACAGCACAAUGAUGUAAGUGGGUAACUGCAAAUACCAUCCCUGUCUCUUUGCCCAUGGAGGUGUCUGGGCAGCAACACUGGUGCAGAUUUCUGCUGUGGAGGAGAGCUCAGGCAUGGGCCUGAGCAUCUGGGUCCCGUGCAACUCCUGGCAGUCAGCAAGGGAUAACAGAGGCAGGAGCUGGCUGGGAAAUUGCUGCUCUGCAGUGAGAGUUGGGUGGUUGUGGUUGUUCAGCACUCGGAUGCCACAGGUUGCAUUCACUCCAUCCGCACGUGCUUUUAACAAGUGCUGUUGUUCCUCUACCACAAAGGAUGCGUGUAAGUACACGAGACCAUGUGGCACCUGUGAUCUUGGGAUUUUGACAGGUUUCUCCAAAAUAUAAUAUUUUCUGCUAUUCACUUUUAACAUAUUUGCAGGAGGCUGCCUACAAGAUCGGUUUCCUAUUAAAAAUAUCCCAGUAUCACCAACUUUCCUAGCCUUUUCCUGCAACAGUAAGUAAGCUCUUUGCAAUGGCAGUAGCAAGGGAAGCAUUACAAAUCUUGAGACCUCUCCUCAGUAGCUUUAAAUGUCAUGACACUGACCUACAGAAGCUACAAACAAAACAGAGCUGCACAAAAACAUUUCAGCCCUAUGGACGUGGUAAUCCUUCAGACCACAACUCUGGAACGCUUUUCUGUAGUACAUAUUAUGAGGGUAACGCUGUUACUCUCAGCUGGCUUCUGCUUAGCUACCCAAGCAAGGCUGGAGCUGGAAAUGCGGAGAUGGAAGAAGAGAGAGAGGAUCUCCCAGGGGGUUUUAUUGGCCAGAAAAUGCUGGCUUGGAAAAGGAUGCGGAGCAUGUUCAAAUAAGAAUAGUCUGGAAGGAGUUUGUGAUGGGCUGUUAUUUCAUUACCAGCUAAGAGAUGUGAAAUUUCCUUUUCCGGAUGAGCAUAUUUCAUCUUUUGCAUAAGACAGCAAUUACUCCUGGUGAGACUUAACAGUUCUGGUAAUUUAACGAGUUAGCCCUGCAGAUUUACUGCAUCAGUCAUUGGAAAGGCCUCUUUGGCGUUCCACAAGCAAGUUUCAGACCUCUUGAUAAAGCCAGUAGCGUGCUGGUCUUUGACAAGCAGAAAGACCUUCAGAAGUAUGCAAGUUAUUGCUGGUAUGUUGUACUCUAGACAUGUCAAGGAAACAUGGAUUAUUUUUACACAAACAGGCGAAUCAAUAUAGUUCCUUAGCAAGCUCCCAUAAAAACCCUUGGGCCUUGAGAAAGUAGAAGGCGUAAGAAAAUCAUUGCUCUUGGAUUAGGCUUCCUAGAUGGAUCGUGCUGUCGCACAUUCAGUAGUUCACUUACAGCAGCUUGGACCUCUGACGAACGAUGGAGGGAGUGAAGGAUGAAACAGAAGACAGAAACAAACAAGGAAUUUAGAGAUAAUCCGGAUAUUUGAUCUUUAAUGAACUUAUCGUCAAAUGUAGACUGUGACAAACUGCAGAUGCUUUUGGAAGUUCUCUUUUAUAGCUGUUAAUUGGAAGGUGAUAUGUAGGUGUUGAGAGGGAAGGGAAAUUUCUGCAGCUGAAAGCAUCAGGCGGUGCUGAAGCAAGGUCACUGGAGUGUCCUAAAAUCUCUUGAUGCUCCAGCACACAGACUGCUCUACAACCUGCAAAUAUUGGAGGCUGUUUUGAAACUCUAUUAAGGAUGACAUAUGCUGACUGUAGUAUCUGGGUAAAGGCAAUUGGAUAUCCCAGCUAUGCCCUAGCUUGAUGUUUUAUGUCUGAGCUGGUGUUACUGUGUAGGGCUCCUGUGUGUUAGAUUGCCAAAACCAAAUUAUGACAUUGACUAAGGCUGAGUCCUCUGAUUAAGGCUAAAAAAAAAUUAAAAAAAAGGAAGAAAGUACAGCCUGGUCUUGGCUCUCAGUGUAGAUAAGUAUUUUUCUGAAGAGCAAAGGGGAUAUUUAUAGAAAAGAGGUGCAAAGCAUACGUAAACAUUGGUGUUUUGUGCACAUCCUCAUCCAUAGUUGUUCCUUUGGGUAGUGUUUUUUCAGGUUCAACACCCUUGUCAAAAUUCAGGUGUGGCACUUGUUGCUUUGGCUUGGUGGAGGCACAGCUGCCUACUUUAAGCAUCAUUUUGGCCUAGCUGGUGUCAUUAAGGUUUCCAUAGGGUCAUGUCAGCAAUUACUGCUAACUAGAUUUUUUUUCUCAGAGCGAGGGUAGUUCUUUUGCAGAUAUUUCAUCACAGGAAAAAUAACAGGGAAGAGGCCACGCUUGUGCAAUGAAAACCCCCGAAGCUGAGUGCUGCUUCAGCCUUGCAUUUAACAUUUGUCAUUCGCCUUUGAUGAGAAGAAGGGGAGCUCUCAAUGUGGUGCCAACACAACAGCAAACAGCAGGAGAAGAGACUGAGACAAGUAGCUCUGAUGCAUUUCACUGGAUGGAUGAGGGCUGGAUUACACAGUGCUUGCUGAAGGAGGCGUUUUGGCCAGCACAUGUCACUAGAGGACAAGUUUGGGGUUUUGCUGAGCCCUGCAGGAAUGACCUGUUAGCUCCAGAGUAAGAGGCAGACCUGAACGUCUACGAGUGACAACUGGGAGUGAGUACAAAGAAGAAGGAGGACGAGUUGCAGCUCCAGGUGGGUUUCUGAGUACUCACAUGUGGUCUCCAAAAACAAUGGGCGGAUGCUUCCCAAAAUGUGUGAUUUCGUAAAAUACUGUGUAUAAAACCAGGGCUUUUGGUCUCCUUUGUAACCUUGUGUGAUGUUAUAAAGAGUUGCAGGUCGUGUGCUUGGAUGCUGGGAGAAGUCUCUGCUGAAAGUGGUUUCCAGGCAUCUUGCUGGCAAGAGACAAGUGGUAAUGAAGGACAUUAGGCUUGAGAACACCUCAGAUCGAUAUUGAAAAUAAGUGAAAGCCAUGUCUGCUCUUGAGCAACGGCAGCUGGGCAUCUCAGCAGGUGUCUCUCCUCACUGCAUGAUAGGGGGCUAGCCUGGCCCUCCUUCAUGAUGUGGAGCUGGUGUUAGCAGCCUCUGGGAGGCUUAUUGAUGCUUCAGAGCCACCAGCCCCUUGUGCAUGUGUACAGGAAGGCUCUGAAGCCAUGGUGGAUCCAGGUGGGUCCAGUUUAAUCUGAAUUUACAGCUCUUGGCAGAUUUGGGUGACGCAUAUCUCCUUAAUGCUUUACCCGUCAGCCUUAAAUUACAAGGAGAGCUGUGUAUCAUAUGCUUUGCCUAAACUGGGAAGUUGAUUUUCCCUUUCCAUGUUGGGGUGUUGUUUUAUGCAUGUCAGAAACAGACCCGUAGCCUUCAAGCCAUUUAACCAUAAAUCUGGUUUAAUUCUCCUAUGGACUUCUAUGCUUGCAGUGAGUCAAGGUCUUACAAAAUUUUGAUUUUCCUAAACUAAGCUUCAUGGAAAGUGAAACUUUUUUAAUGUCACAGAAAUGAAAUAACAAUUUUUAUCAUUCCAGGUGCAUCGCUACACUGAUUUCCAUUUUCUUUCAAUUUUCAAAUAUGUGAAGAAAGAACUGUAUUAACAGUUAGUACCGAGCGAGGUAGGAGGCUUUCACUAACCUUCAAGACUGCAUAUUGUAUAUUUUUUCUGACUUUUCUAUAAAUAAAAACAGCUAUUAAGAUGUAAUGCCUCUGGCUGUUGUAUCCGAGGAUAAGUGUUUGAGAUGCAAUGAGAGAUGCUCAGGGAAUUGAUAAGUCUUCAGAAAAAAAAAAUUUCCUGAGAUCAAUUUCCUGAUUCAAUAGCAAAGUCCUCAUAUCAUAUAAAAUGUAAUGUGAUUGUCCAUGGCUCUAAUAAAAUCUUGAUUUUUCUACCAAAUUUAUGUCUAUAAAAAUCAAAUUUAUCCAGCAUUAGUCUGCAUUUUAAAAGGGAUAGGUUUUUCUUGAUAUGAUAUUAAUCCUUUAUGGUACAUUA